rnacentral:rRNA from 1 species
UCCCAAACCCAAUGUGAACCAUACCAAACUGUUGCCUCGGCGGGGUCACGCCCCGGGUGCGUCGCAGCCCCGGAACCAGGCGCCCGCCGGAGGGACCAACCAAACUCUUUUCUGUAGUCCCCUCGCGGACGUUAUUUCUUACAGCUCUGAGCAAAAAUUCAAAAUGAAUCAAAACUUUCAACAACGGAUCUCUUGGUUCUGGCAUCGAUGAAGAACGCAGCGAAAUGCGAUAAGUAAUGUGAAUUGCAGAAUUCAGUGAAUCAUCGAAUCUUUGAACGCACAUUGCGCCCGCCAGUAUUCUGGCGGGCAUGCCUGUCCGAGCGUCAUUUCAACCCUCGAACCCCUCCGGGGGGUCGGCGUUGGGGACCUCGGGAGCCCCUAAGACGGGAUCCCGGCCCCGAAAUACAGUGGCGGUCUCGCCGCAGCCUCUCCUGCGCAGUAGUUUGCACAACUCGCACCGGGAGCGCGGCGCGUCCACGUCCGUAAAACACCCAACUUCUGAAAUGUUGACCUCGGAUCAGGUAGGAA